AUGUAUUCCAAAAAGUCAAGUGUGGCGAGUGGGGCGGGGCCGAGGGACGUGGGAACAAGGAGUGAGGCUGGCGGAAUGAUUGGGAAAUCAGCGACACCUGCGCCCCACCGCCGGUCUCGAGUCCCACGUAGGAGAUGGAAGGAUAUAAAACUGGAGCGACGAUAGGGAAGGACGAGAGAGGACCAGGCCUGGGCAUUAGAUUAUGUUUUGCUUUUUAUUUGUGCGCAUCAGUCAUCCGUGAGGGGCUGAUGCGUUUUGUUUAUUUUGAGAUUAUUAAAGUUUCAUUUUGAUUGUGCGCCGGUUCCCGCCUCCUUCUUCCCGAUGAAUAUGGAGAUUUUAUCAUUACAUCAAGGUAUCUUGAAACCUUGAAACCAAACCCAUUCUGUCAUGAAAGUAUUACAUAUCCUUGCAUAAAAUCUUGCAUGAUCUAUAAGUGGUACUCAGACUCAACAGAUCUCUCUGCAGAUUAUAUUGUGCGUGUUGAAAUUCAGCUCUUUGUAGUAUUAUGAAAUAUUAUUACCAUUUAAAAUAACUUUUCAAUUAAUCCAGUCUUCACUGUUACACAAUCUUUCAGAAAUUAUUCUAAUAUGCUGAAUUGGUGCUUAAGAAACAUCUCUUAUUACUAUUGAAAACAGUGAUCAACUUUUUCAGGAUUCUUUGAUGAAUAGAAAGCUCAAAAGAACAGUGUUGGAAGGGAAAUUAAAAUAAUUAUAUAAUUCUAAAUAUGAUGAAAACAUGUUAUAUUAAAUAUUAUACAAAUGAUAAUAAUUUACUUUUAAUUAGGUUAUUAUAUACAUUAUAUAAAUAAGCUGUUCUGCGAAAUAAACAGUAUACAAAACAGAAAUUAAACCUACUUACAUUUAAUUUUUCAUUUUCAUUAAAUUCUUUUUUUAAUUUUUUUCAAGUGCUAAAAUGGAGAAACACAUGAUUGCAUUCAUGUUUGCAGCCAAUUGAAAAGUAAAUUGAAUCUUUUUUUUUAUGUUCCUGCGUUUAUGCAUGUUCUGACACAUACACAUUCCUGAAAUGACAGCCACUUGAGCAACCAUCCUCUAUUCCUUUUUUAGUGUGUACAAUCAGAACUUAUUUGGAGUAUAAAUUGUGAUGCAUUAUAUAAAAGUUCCUUACCUUGUUGUUACAGUAGUAGCCUAAUUAGGCAAUAUAAUGUUGGCUUCUAUCACAUAUCUCAACUAAAUGCAAAGCACUGAGCUUUGAACUGCUCUUAGGAUUAAGCAGGACUGACCCAUUGCCAUACACGGAAAACACAUCGCAAAGGUCUGUACCUGCGGUAAACAAACAUCAGGGUUACAUCAUGGCAUGUGUGGUGUACCUUAUUCAAAAGACCAAUCAUGCUUAGUUCCUUUCUUUCAACCUUAGUCAUUUUUGGUUAUAUUUCCAUAUUAGGAGUCUACCUGUUCCCAUUGCUUGAGCAGCAUCCACCAGUAGAUCUCAUCAGAUCUUUGCAUGAGCGUGUGUUACCUGUCAAUGUUUCCAUAUAGGGUACUUUAGGUCUGAUAGGUGGAGACAGUCAGUAGGCCAUUUAUAGUGUUUUUGUAUGUAAUCUUAUUGUGUAUUUCUAGUCUCCUAUGUUAUAUACAGUAAAGAGACAAUAAUGCUUUGAAAGGAAGUAGAAUCCUACUGAAUAAAUACAAUGAAAGGAGAAAGAAAAGCAGAUUCUCAAUCACUCUUUCUAAUUUCCGCUUUAAAGAGUCAUGUGACUUUGCCUUGGCGUUCCAAAGUACAAUACCAUGUGACACAUCCAGAGAUUGCCUUAUAAGGAAAUUGGCUGAAUAUCUCUUAAAGGGGCCCUGAACAUAGUUUCUCUGUAAACAAGACACAACACAAAGGUCAUUUAAUUUCCUUUAUAUUGGGCAACAUAACAUGUUUGAACACUGUGUAUAGCUUUAUGGAAGAAAAUGUUUAAUUUCUGGUUGAUACGUAUAUGUAUAAACAUAAAUAAACAUGCCCAUAUGUCAAAACAGCUGCUUAAACUAAUAAAUGACUGAACAAUCACCCUUUACAAGCUAACCACACAGUUCAUGCUCUAGACUUAAUUUCCAAGAAUGGCCUAAAUGAAGCUUGGCUUACUUUAUAUUUCUUUUCUGAUACAGGCUCCUGCGACUUCCUCUCAGAAUUGUCACAAUGGGCUGUGGGUGUAAGACUUUAAGUUGUCUAUCUCUCUUCCUCUUCCUCUUUCAGUUUGAAUCAUUCUAAGGGCUUCAGUAUUUUGCUGCUGAGAGAAACAAUGUGGAUUUUAAAACUGAUACACCAUCUUGAAAACACCAUCAUAUACUCGUACAUGAUACUAACUGGUGGAGUCAUAGACCCCCACACCCGCACAUCAAGCUGAUACUCACACACCCUGGAGACAAUGAAGGCUGUUCCUAUUGCAUACAUUAGGAAGCACUUUGUGAAAAAAGAUGUGGCAAUAGGUUGUAAUGAUGACUCAUUCACCUUUGUGUCUAGGCUUAUCUAUUCUUUAUGGAACCGGUACAUUGUCAAAAUUCAAUAUUAAUACCAUUGCACGCCUAAGCACAUGUUUGUUUGGGGUGGGCAGUUGUACUGGGUGUCACUGCUGUUAAAAGGAUCAUUCCAGCAAUCUCUUGUCACUAGAUAAAUCACACACUACACUGUACUGUGGUGACACUCUGAUGCUUCAAUAUAACUAGCUCCUGAAUGGUUCAUUAACAUAAAAGACACAGUUUGGUUGUCUUUGGUUGUCAGGUCCACACUGAUAAGAGAAGAAAUGCAGAGCACCCCCAGUCAAGACGUGUUGCCAUGCGUCUAAAAUUGCCCACAUUGAAGGCAGUACAGGGAUUAUUACUUAGGCAAUAAAAUAAACUAAUAAAAUAUGAACAGUUAAAUAAUAAUCCAUGUAUAUAAAGUGAUAGUAUAUAACAGUAUAACAAACUUUCAUUGUUUUUUUUACUGGCAUUUCAAUUUCUUUCUUGAUGACAUUUGGGGCCAAUACCAAGUUAUCACAUUUUUACUUAAACUGUUGAAGAUAGCCUACCCAGGGAGAUUUGGGCAUCAAAAUUGACGCAUUUAAUAUUUAGGAAACAUGUAAGACACAUUCUAUUAAAUAUAUCAAUAUAUUAUAUAAAGAAUUUAAGUAACAAAGCAUGUAAUAUAUGUGCACUCCAAAUAUUGGUCUAAAUGCAACAGCGUGAAACGUAAUCGGCUAUGACGUAAUACGCAAAAGCCGGGUUGACAGGAAGUGUCCGGUUCAAGGGAGCAGCAUGCCAUUGUUUUGUAUCCCCUGCAUUGCAGACAACCCGAUAACCUAAAAUAUUUCAAAACUAUUUGACCUUACAUACUUCUGAGCAACGAUGAAUAGAGGAGACGCUGGUCCAAACAAGAAACCCCCAACAUUUCAUUCAUUUCUGAAUUAACGUUACUCCUGAAGCAUACACUGCCUGCAGUUUUACAUUCACAGCAUUACAUUUAAGACAAACUGAUACUAAGCGUUGUGCAUAAAAUUGGCCUCUGACUAACGUUACGUGAAACAGUGCAACGGUGACAGAUUAGUAUAUUUUGAUGUUAAUUUACAGUUGAUCUUACAAUGGUCAUGAGAAAUAUAUGUACUUUAAAUGGGAGCCACGCCCACGUAGUUCAUCUAAUAGAAACUGAACAAAAAGCUUCUUAUGAGCUAAUCCUGAAUGAAUCGCUUUGAAUAUAUAUAUAUAUAUAUAUAUAUA
rnacentral:lncRNA from 1 species